GUAACACGUGGGUAACCUGCCUCAAAGAGGGGGAUAGCCUCCCGAAAGGGAGAUUAAUACCGCAUAACAUUAUUUUAUGGCUUCAUAGAAUAAUCAAAGGAGCAAUCCGCUUUGAGAUGGACCCGCGGCGCAUUAGCUAGUUGGUGAGGUAAGGGCUCACCAAGGCGACGAUGCGUAGCCGACCUGAGAGGGUGAUCGGCCACAUUGGAACUGAGACACGGUCCAGACUCCUACGGGAGGCAGCAGUGGGGAAUAUUGCGCAAUGGGGGAAACCCUGACGCAGCAACGCCGCGUGAGUGAUGAAGGUUUUCGGAUCGUAAAACUCUGUCUUUAGGGACGAUAAUGACGGUACCUAAGGAGGAAGCCACGGCUAACUACGUGCCAGCAGCCGCGGUAAUACGUAGGUGGCAAGCGUUGUCCGGAUUUACUGGGCGUAAAGAGUAUGUAGGUGGGUGCUUAAGUCAGAUGUGAAAUUCCCGGGCUUAACCUGGGCGCUGCAUUUGAAACUGGGCAUCUAGAGUGCAGGAGAGGAAAGUGGAAUUCCUAGUGUAGCGGUGAAAUGCGUAGAGAUUAGGAAGAACACCAGUGGC
rnacentral:rRNA from 1 species